GUCAUAGAUCUUUCACAGUUUUGAGUACGUGUGUAUUGCUGUUACAUGCAUUGUUGUCUGUAAUAUGCCUUUCAAACUGCUCAUUUCUUGUAAAGCCUAUUUCGUAGCCCCCAAUCUCUAAGAUUAGAUCUAAUUUUAUAGGACAACCCAUCCACGUGGCUUGGCUGUAAUGAACAAACAAAUUGCCAACGAGAAGGAUAUAUAAACAAACAGUGGUUCUAGGAGCCUGAAGAACUUGCAAAUAAAAAAAGCAUUUGGUAUCGAAUUCCAAAAGUUUCCUUUUCAGUCAUGAAAAACAUAAUUCUUUUCUCGACUCUUGUUUUGCUUUUUCAAGUUGCAUUAUAUACUUGCCAAACACAAAAGUGUAAUUUGAAAGGAAAAUGGAAAAAUCAACUUGGAUCCACAAUGAAUAUUUCCAAGGGACAAAACAAUGGAAACUUCACUGGCUCAUAUUUAACUAAAGUGACAAGAGAAAAGAACGUGGAAAUUAAGAUAUCGCCCAUCUCUGGAGUUGUACAUAAUUCUUCUGAGCCGAUAUUUGCUUUCCUUGUUAAGUGGUCUUUCUCAGAUUCUAUAACAAGCUUUAUUGGCCAGUGCUUUGAUGACGACAAAGGUGAACGUCUUGAAACCAUGUGGCUGCUCAGAGCAAAAGCGAGCUCCAGCGAAAACUGGGCGGCAACCAGGGUUGGCAGUGAUGUGUUUCGUCGGUUGACCUAAAGAAAAGGAAAUUCAUCAGGAAGUUCAAAGCGAUUGAAGCGGCGUUAUCAAAAAAGGCUGAAAUAAUUUGCUCUCCCUACUUUGUAAUCUUUCUUAUCAUGAAAUUUAAGCAUACUUAAAUGAAAUCUCUCGCUCUCUGAUCUCAUUUGAUUUGUUUUUCCAUUGUUCAUUAAAUUUAAAGCAUUAAAAUACAUGUAUCCUGUGUUUAUUUAGUGUUAUGAAAUAAACAACAGUGGUAAUAUUCCUAGGGUGAA